CUCCUCCUGAUCUUUUACUUGGCAAGACAGGAUGACAGAGAAUAAUUAAAUGUGUGUGUUUAGGAUCAGUAAGCUUCCUGUCAAUUACAGGCAACCACUCAGAGCUUUUCUAGUGGUAGGCCUUAUGUUUUUUCAUUAUUUAUUAAGUACAGAUGAGCAAAGUAACCCAGACAUUAAUGAGGGCUUGCGAACUGUGAUACCUGCCAUGCUGCGAACAUUCCAUGUACCUUACUGCCUCCACACAACAGUGAAGGUGACUUACACAUUUGCUCUUGCACUUCGCUGAUGCUGGCCUCACCUGGCAGAAGACGUCAUGUGCUGGCUUGGCCAUGGACCAGCCUCAUCAGGGCCUUCACUGGGCUGUGUCUGAUGUGGUCACUGUCCCCAGGCCUGCUCCGCUCGCCUUACCCAGGCCCUCAGGGACUGCAGCUUGGUGUCAGGGCCCCUGGUGGUGUGGGGCAGCCCCCCCACUGCUCCCCGCAGUGACCCCAGCCUCCCUCCUCAGCCAGCUUAACAACGGCACCUCACAUUCCACCGCCUACCUACAGAGAUCCCAUGUGCUGUUUAUCCUGGAUAAACUGUCAUGCAAAUAGUAGGAGACAGAAACAGACCUCUGUGAAGUCCCUUCAAUUGUUCACUGCAUACACAAAAGACAGAGCAAAGAUCCUUCUCCGUAAUGGAGUUGUAGCAGAAUUUUUUCACAGAGAUAGUGGUGUUUUAGCAAUAAGAAGACCUUUAUUAGAUUGGGGGAGGAGAAGAUAUGGCUGGUACAUGCGAUUUGGAGAUCUCAGUGCUCCUUCCACAAGAAUGGAGGCUGAUAAAGAUGAAGGGACCUUUGAGGAACUCCAGAGCUAUGUAUACCUCUUAUUUUAUGUUAUUCUAAUAAAAGCAUAGCUGCUUCUCCAAUUCAGCUGUCUAGUUCAGUUGGCAAGA
rnacentral:lncRNA from 1 species